rnacentral:rRNA from 1 species
GCAGUAGCCGCGGUAAUACGUAGGUGGCAAGCGUUGUCCGGAAUUAUUGGGCGUAAAGGGCUCGCAGGCGGUUUCUUAAGUCUGAUGUGAAAGCCCCCGGCUCAACCGGGGAGGGUCAUUGGAAACUGGGAAACUUGAGUGCAGAAGAGGAGAGUGGAAUUCCACGUGUAGCGGUGAAAUGCGUAGAGAUGUGGAGGAACACCAGUGGCGAAGGCGACUCUCUGGUCUGUAACUGACGCUGAGGAGCGAAAGCGUGGGGAGCGAACAGGAUUAGAUACCCCCGUAGUCCCUGUCUCUUAUAU